UACGGAGGGUGCAAGCGUUAAUCGGAAUUACUGGGCGUAAAGCGUGCGCAGGCGGUUUGUUAAGUCCGUUGUGAAAGCCCCGAGCUCAACUUGGGAAUUGCAGUGGAUACUGGCAGGCUGGAGCACGGUAGAGGAAGGUGGAAUUCCCGGUGUAGCAGUGAAAUGCGUAGAUAUCAGGAAGAACACCCGUGGCUAAGGCGGCUCUCUAGUACGGUACUGACGCUGAGACGCGAAAGCGUGGGGAGCGAACAGG
rnacentral:rRNA from 1 species